GACGAACCGUCCAAACGUUAUUCGGAAUCACUGGGCUUACAGAGUUCGUAGGCGGUCUGGAAAGUUGGGUGUGAAAUCCCUCGGCCUAACCGAGGAACUGCGCUUGAAACUACCAGACUCGAGGGGGAUAGAGGAAAGCGGGACUGAUGGUGGAGCGGUGAAAUGCGUUGAUAUCAUCAGGAACACCGGUGGCGAAGGCGGCUUUCUGGGUCUUACCUGACGCUGAGGAACGAAAGCCAGGGGAGCGAACGGG
rnacentral:rRNA from 1 species